rnacentral:snoRNA from 1 species
GCUGCCAUGUCACAUGUGUGUCAGUAGGUGGCAGAGAGGAGAGAGGCUAUGUCUAUGCUAUGUUCUUACCAGUGAACAUCUGAAUGAUCAGUAGCCUGAUAGU